rnacentral:rRNA from 1 species
AACGAACGCUGGCGGCAUGCCUAACACAUGCCAGUCGAACGAGACCUUCGGGUCUAGUGGCGCACGGGUGCGUAACGCGUGGGAACCUGCCCUUAGGUUCGGAAUAACUCCCCGAAAGGGGUGCUAAUACCGGAUAAUGUCUUCGGACCAAAGAUUUAUCGCCUUUGGAUGGGCCCGCGUUGGGUUAGCUAGUUGGUAGGGUAAAAGCCUACCAAGGCGACGAUCCAUAGCUGGUCUGAGAGGAUGAUCAGCCACACUGGGACUGAGACACGGCCCAGACUCCUACGGGAGGCAGCAGUGGGGAAUAUUGGACAAUGGGCGAAAGCCUGAUCCAGCAAUGCCGCGUGAGUGAUGAAGGCCUUAGGGUUGUAAAGCUCUUUUACCCGGGAUGAUAAUGACAGUACCGGGAGAAUAAGCUCCGGCUAACUCCGUG